AUUGAACGCUGGCGGCAUGCUUUACACAUGCAAGUCGAACGGUAACAGGCCUCAGGGUGCUGACGAGUGGCGAACGGGUGAGUAAUGCAUCGGUACGUGCCCAGCCGUGGGGGAUAACUACUCGAAAGAGUAGCUAAUACCUCAUACGAUCUAUGGAUGAAAGCGGGGGACCGUAAGGCCUCGCGCGAUUGGGGCGGCCGUUGUCGGAUUAGGUAGUUGGUGGGGUAUAGGCUCACCAAGCCGCCGAUCUGUAGCUGGUCUGAGAGGAGGACAAGCCACACUGGGACUGAGAGACGGCCCAGACUCCUACGGGAGGCAGCAGUGGGGAAUUUUGGACAAUGGGCGCAAGCCUGAUCAAGCAAUGCAGCGCGCAGGAAGAAGGCCUUCGUGUUGUAUGCUGCUUUUGUGCGUGACGAAACGGCUCUGGUUAAUAGCCGGGGCUAAUGACGGUACCGUAAGAAUAAGCACCGGCUAACUACGUG
rnacentral:rRNA from 1 species